AAGCAUGAUUAGGGCAUCCUACUAGUAAACUCUUAAACCUCUUGUAAUUGUCACGAAGAGAUUCUCCAUCUUUUUGUUUGUAACCGAAAAUCUCUUUCCUUUUCU